AGUUCAUGUUUCUGAAGAUAUCAUUGGUAGCACAUGUUUUGAAAGUCUUGGGAACAAACAAAAGACUUAACCUACGUAUUACCAUUUCAUCUUCAGACUCUAUUUAAUCAUAGAAACUAAAUUUAAGGUCCCAGGCCCUAGGACUUCCCAAUAGCUAAACAGCUUCUAUUAUAAAGAAACAGUUGUCUAAGUCCAGACAUCUCAAGGACAACUUUUCCAUCUUGCUGACAGGGUCAAACUAAGGUCAUGUUUCCAGGUCCAGGAACCUACUCCUAUCCUGAUUGAUGGAAACUGCUUGCUCUACUUCUUAUGAAAAAAUGAUUAGAUAAUGCUACGGUCCACCCUGUUCCUCUUACUGUAUGGCCUUAUCCUUUAAACAUGUUGUGCAGCAGCCCUUUCGGGUGGCAGUUCAGCUCCCAACUCUGUUCUAUGGCCCCGCUUGAUCAGUAGUGGUUUGAUUACAAUAGUUUUUUGUCAUCUGCAUUGACCUCACGUUUGAGUUAUGUAGGAUUUAAGCAGACCCCACAACAAAAGAAUUUUCCCCCACAGCCCUAGUUAACACAAAAAGAAAAGAAAAGAGCUAAGUCUUUGGGUUCUCUGACUGGACCUCUUUACUGAGCAAGGUGGUACAGUUUCCAAAUUCCAUUUUUGGACCUUGGGGAAGCCAGAGAUUUUGAAGCAACAUU
rnacentral:lncRNA from 1 species